UACAGGUUUGGUCCCAGCCUUUCUAUUAGUUGUCAGUAAGAUUACACAUGCAAGUAACUGCGCACCAGUGAGAAUGCCCUCUAAAUUAUUUAAUCAAAAGGAGCAGGCAUCAAGCGCGCUAAACAGCAGCUCUCCACGCCUUGCUAAACCACGCCCCCACGGGAUACAGCAGUGACAAAACUUAAGCAAUAAACGAAAGUUCGACUAAGCUAUACUGAAUAAAAGGGUUGGUAAAUUUCGUGCCAGCCACCGCGGUCAUACGAUUAACCCAAACUAAUAAAAAACGGCGUAAAGUGUGUUUUGGAGAAUCAAAAAUAAAGUUAAAUUUUAUCUAAGCCGUAAAAUGCCCUAGCUAAAACAAAAUAACCCACGAAAGUGACUUUAACAUUCUAAGAACACGACAACCAAGACUCAAACUGGGAUUAGAUACCCCACUAUGCUUGGUCAUAAACUCAAAUGAUUAAUUAACAAAAUCACUCGCCAGAAUACUACAAGCAACAGCUUAAAAUUCAAAGGACUUGGCGGUGCUUCAAUCCCCUCUAGAGGAGCCUGUUCUACAAUCGAUAAACCCCGAUAAACCUCACCACCCCUUGCUAAUUCAACCUAUAUACCGCCAUCCCCAGCAAACCCUAUCAAGGUCACGAAGUAAGCACAAACAUACAACAUAAAAACGUUAGGUCAAGGUGUAGUCCAUGGAGUGGAAAGAAAUGGGCUACAUUUUCUAAUAACAGAACAAUAUCUCACCACAACCCCUAUGAAAUCUAGGGGCCAAAGGAGGAUUUAGUAGUAAACCGAGAAUAGAGAGCUCGAUUGAAUAAGGCCAUGAAGCACGUACACACCGCCCGUCACCCUCCUCCACCCUCCAUAUAAUUAUAUUCCUAAUCACAAGAAACACAGCACAAGAGGAGAUAAGUCGUAACAAGGUAAGCAUACUGGAAAGUGUGCUUGGAAAAAC
rnacentral:ncRNA from 1 species